ACUGAAGGAAGCAGCGUGUUUUUAUCCCUGUCUGUUAAGACUAGGUAACUUGCGGAACCUCCUCCGUGAUUGCGAUAGGGGCUUCCAAUUGAUUAUCUUGAAC
rnacentral:rRNA from 1 species